CCUGGGUUGCUCUGAGGCAGGACCACGGCUCAGCUGUGCUUGGCACGCAGGAGGGAGGUUCACUCUGUGUCUGCAGAUGAAGGUGAACACACAUUCUAGAAGCCACAUGUGUGUAUCAAGGAGCAGAUCCUUGCUGAUCCCAGGCCAACAGGACCAGCUGGUGGGCAAACUCCCCUGACUGAGCUGCCAGUGAAGGACUUGCACCCAGCUGGAUUUGGGAGUGAACAGCCACAUAUCAAAGUCCGGGUGAGCAAAGUCAGGCAGAUCCUUUGGAAGUCAAAGCUCCACGAAGU